rnacentral:rRNA from 1 species
AUUGAACGCUGGCGGCAGGCCUAACACAUGCAAGUCGAACGAGUGGCGGACGGGUGAGUAAUGUCUGGGAAACUGCCUGCUGGAGGGGGAUAACUACUGGAAACGGUAGCUAAUACCGCAUACCAUCGGAUGUGCCCCGAGGGGAUUAGCUAGUUGGUGGGGUAACGGGUCACCAGGGCGACGAUGCCUAGCUGGGCUGAGAGGAUGACCAGCCACACUGGAACCGAGACACGGUCCAGACUCCUACGGGAGGCAGCAGGGGGGAAUAUUGCACAAUGGGCGCAAGCCUGAUGAAGCCAUGCCGCGGGUAUGAAGAAGGCCUUCGGGUUGUAAAGGACUUUAAGCGGGUAGGCGUUACCCGCAGAAGAAGCACCGGCUAACUCCGUGCCAGCAGCCGCGGUAAUAC